GAUGGGGAAAUCCUUCACCAACUUCAUGUGCAAGAAGGACUUUCAUCCCACCUCUAAAUCUAAUGUCAAAAAAAUAUGGAGGGAGGAAUAGAAAAUAUUACAUGGUAAGAAGAAAUAAGAAGAAUUAAUGCAACAAUAUCUUUAAGAACAAGAAUCGUAUGAUAAUAGCUUGGUUAUGGGAUAUGAAUCUGUAAAGAAUGGUCUUAAUUUCAUGUAUGAAGCCCCACCAGAAGCUUAAAAAGUAGACAAAGAGAAAGAAGAAAUAGAGGAGAGACUGAAUACAAAUUUGAAUGGCAGAAAGGAGCCCUACAAGAAAAAUAUGCCAAAGAUGACAUGAACAUCAGAGAUCAGCCCUUUGGUAUUCAGGUUUGAAAUGUGAGGGGCAUUAAAUGUCACAAAUGGGGUCAUGUCAACAGAGAUCAAGAAUACACUUUGUUGGGUCUUUCUGGAAUCAAUGCAAGUUCAGUUCCCAGUGAUGGCUCAGGGCCAUCAAUGCACCCCUCAGAGCCAAUAGAGGAAAUGAGAAACAGUGGAUUUGCCCUGCAAUGUAAUGUACUGCAGAGAAACUUGACCACAAAUGAUCCAUCACAGGAGUUUGCUGUAAGUGACACUGAAGAAGAUCCAGAAGUUGAAUUUUUAAAGUUAUUAACAACCAAACAAAAACAGAAACUUCUCAGGAAAUUAGAUAAACUGGAGGAGAAACAAAGAAAAAGAGAUAGAAAAAAAGAAAAAGUUUCAGAAGAUCUGAAGUACACACAAAAAACAUAAAAACAAAUCCUCUUCUUCCUCCUCCUCCUCCUCUUCCCCUACUGAAACUUCAGAAAGCAGUAGAGUGAGAGCGACAUUAAAGGAAAAAAUAUAUUGAAAAGAAGAAAAGAAAGAAAUGCAAGAGCUCAGGGCAUAACAACAGUGAUUCUGAAGAGAAGGACAAGCCUAAAAAGAGAAAACUUUAUAAAGAACUUUCUAAAAGUUACCCUAAACUGGAAAAAAGCCAAGGAAAGGCCUGAGUUCUUAAAACACAAGAGUUCUAGGGAGAAUGGCAAAUGGAGCCAUUCCGAUUCUGACAAAAAGUCCAGAAGCCAUAAUCAUAGCCCAGAGAAAAGAGUCUCUGAAAGAAAGGAGGGGAGCUGCAGAAGCCAUGGCAGAGAAGAUAGGAUCUGGGGAAGCCAAAGCAGUUCUGUAGCUAUAAACAAAGAGAGAUAAGAAAACAGCCACAGCCAAGUCCCAGUGAAGAGUGUAGUAGAAGAAAUGACACCAGAAGCCAUGGCACAGAUGUAUACAGAGAAGAAAAAAAUGUACAGAGUACCCAGGAGAUACGCAUAAUAAAGUGACACAAAGAGAA
rnacentral:lncRNA from 10 species